rnacentral:rRNA from 1 species
GUGCAAAGGUAGCAUAAUCACUUGGGGUUUAAUUGGAACCUAGUAUGAAUGGUUGGACAAAGGAAGAGCUGUCUCUAUAAUAAGAAUUGAAUUUUACUUUUAAGUGAAAAGGCUUAAAUAUUUCAAAGGGACGAUAAGACCCUAUAAAGUUUUAUAAAUAAUUUAAAUUUUAUUAAUGUUAUAGUAAAGAUUAAGUUUAAUUAUUUUAUUUUGUUGGGGCGACAUAGGUAUAAUUGUAAGUAACUGCUAAGGUAAAGUUCUAUUAUAAGAGAGUUAUUAAUAAUGAUCCUUUUUAGAGAUUUAAAGGCUAAGUUACUUUAGGGAUAACAGCGUUAUUUCUUUUGAGAGUUCAUAUCGAGAGAGAAGAUUGCGACCUCGAUGUUGAAUUAAAAUGUCUAUAUAAUGAAGGUGUUAUAUAAGAGGGUCUGUUCGACCUUUAAAAUUUUACAUGAUUUGAGUUCA